UACAAGGAAAGGUGUACCUCUAUCAGGGGAAAGAUGGCAGUAAUCAAAGACAACUUCACAAAGCAGGUUGAGCCUUAAAAAUGAAAAGUAAUUUGUCAGAAAAGUAGAGGGAAGCAUUUCAGAUGAAGUUAAAAAGCUGAUAAAAGCUAAAAAGGAAGAGGAAUUUUGUAAACCAUGAAUAAUGUUGCAGCUGAUGCUUGGCAUGUUGUUAAAAAGGUCCUGUUAUGAAGUAGAGAAGAGAAUGUAUGGUGACUUUAUGUGUCUGUCCUGUAUUUUGUUUGGUUUCUGAUUGUUUUGUUCACUGCUGUUUGGAUCAAUCUGUGACUGAAUCUUUGAGCUGUUUGUGUGCCUGUAACCUGGUGACAUCUGGUAUUUCCCAAAUGGUUUGUUGACAUUUUUAGGUCAUUGGAAGUAGUUUUUAAAUAAGUAAAUAUUCAGCUGAAGAUUAAGAUCGAUUUAAUCUGUCACUUCAUACAAUGUUUUAGAUCUAUGUUUUAAAUGAGGAGUAUGUCUUUUAUCUAAACAUUCUAAGUAAUUUUAACUAAACAUGCAGAUCUGUCAAGAGAACUAGACUUGGAAAUGAUAACAGAGGAAGAACAAGGAAAACUUGAUGAAGAUGAGAAUAACCAUGCACAGGUUGAAGAAGAAAACAAGCACAAAAGUAGUGAAGUGGAAGUAUCAGAGAACAUAUGUGAUGCUGCUGAUGAGAAUGGAUUGUUUCAGCAGAGAAAGAGUGGAGGAAACAGCAACCAGGAGUUUCCUGCUAUGCAGAAUGAGGGUUCUGAUAGGUUCUGUUGGCUUGUUGAAAAUUCAGGAUACAUUUCUUUUGAAUGAAAGAUUAGUAGAUUUUCAAAGAAGCUACUGUGAACUACUUAGAGGAGAAUUUUACAGAAUGAAAAGUAAGAUUCGUGGGCUACAAAAAGAGCUGUCAGAAACCAAAGAAGUGAAAUCACAGAGCAUCAGAAAGUGGAGUGGGAACGAGAGCUCAGCAGCUUGAGAUUCAUCUUAAAGCAAGAAGAAGAGAAUAGAAGAAAUGCUGAGAUGUUUUAUGAAAAAAUGAGGGAGCAUUUAAGAAGAAAAGAAGACCAAUAUAGUAAAGAAGUUGAAGUGAAACAGCACCUAGAACUCACUUUCCAAGCAGUAGAAGUGAAAGUGAAGACUGAGAGAAAUGAUCUGAAUCAGGUAGAGUAAUCUUUGGUGAA